GACGAACGCUGGCGGCGUGCUUAACACAUGCAAGUCGAACGGAAAGGCCCUGCUUUUGUGGGGUGGUCGAGUGGCGAACGGGGGAGUAACACGUGGGUAACCUGUACCUGCCCUUGGGGUAUCUUAAGGCCACUUGGGCUCAUACCGGAUAGGAUCUACUGCCGCUUGGUGGGGGCUGGUUAGAUUCGGUGGUUGGGGAUGGAAUAGCCGCGUAUCGGCUUGAUGGUGGGGUAGUGGGUUACGAAGGCUAGGCAGGGUAGCCGGCCUGGGAGGGUAAGCGGCCACAUUAGGCCUGAGAUACGGCCCAGACUCCUACCGGAGGCAGCGGUGGGGAAUAUUGCACAGUGGGCGGAAGCCAGAUGCGACAACGCCGCGUGCGGGAUGAGGUGCUUCGGGUUGUAAACCGCUGUCGCCUUUGACGAGGCGUGAGUGACGGUAAUGGGUAAAGAAGCACCGGCUAACUACGUG
rnacentral:rRNA from 1 species